UGGGUGUUUCAAAGAAGCUAAAAACAACUUAAGGAGCUCUCUGUUUGUAUAAUUUAGAAAAGAGUAAAAAAGGAUACGAAGGGCGGCGAGGAAUCAAGCAUGAACAGUAAUGGCAAAAACGAAGUGAAGAAGAUGACAAAACCCGCUUUCAGACCCGCAAAAGAUGACACAAAGCCACUUCUUCAAGACCCAAUACUCAGAUCAGACCCAAUUGAGACUGAGGAAGCUCUCUUGCGCUUGCCUCCUUUUCCUAUUUCUAAACCCAAAUCUCAAACCCAGUGAAUCUUUUUUUAAUUUUGUAUCUGAUAUGACUCAAUUUAUUUGGGCAGAAAUUGUGUUUCUAUGUAAUUUGAGUGUUCUGCAAAACCCCUUUUUACCCAAUGUAGAACAACUGUAUAUUCUCUGCACAAAAUAUUACUAGUCCUAGUUUCUUGUCCUUUGAUUUCACUGACUAUCCUUUGUUAUCGUAUUGCUUUGUUACUA